rnacentral:rRNA from 1 species
UACGUAGGGUGCAAGCGUUAAUCGGAAUUACUGGGCGUAAAGCGUGCGCAGGCGGUGAUGUAAGACAGAUGUGAAAUCCCCGGGCUCAACCUGGGAACUGCAUUUGUGACUGCAUCGCUGGAGUACGGCAGAGGGGGAUGGAAUUCCGCGUGUAGCAGUGAAAUGCGUAGAUAUGCGGAGGAACACCGAUGGCGAAGGCAAUCCCCUGGGCCUGUACUGACGCUCAGGCACGAAAGCGUGGGGAGCAAACAGG